GUUCUGCAGCAUCCCAGAGGGGAACCCACGUCUGGCAGUUCCCGAUCCCUAGACACUGACGAGGACUGGCCUGGAGUGCCUGCCGCCCUGGACCCUAAGGAGCCAGAAAAGGCCUGGAGGCUACCGGUACAAACCCCAGGGAGGCAGGAAGUGGCCCCGGAGCAGCCGGCUGCAGAGCCAGGACACUUUGCUCCCUGCUCAUAGGCUCAGGGCAAAACGCCAGCCUGGAAAAGACUCCGAGAGCCCGUCUGAUCGACACCAUUAGUGAACUGGGCGAAUCGGACUUGAAGAUGUUUAAAGACAAGCUGAACAAUUUCAAGCCCAAGGAAGGUUAUAACCACAUAAAAUGGAGCCAUCUGGAAAAAGCAGACGCUGUAGCAAUCACUUGCCUGCAUGUCAGCUACUACGAGAAGGAUUACACAGUGGAAGUGGCCGGGAAGGUGCUGGAGGACAUGGACAAGAAGAACCUGGCACACAAGCUGUCAGAGACCGUAGGGAAGGGAAUCCUCCUCUUCCUCCUCCUCGACGGCAGCAGUGACUCCAACGCAGCAGCAGUCAGCCAGCCAGGCAGGAGGGACCCGUAGGUGGUGGUGGGGUCCUUGUUUCUCCCUCCAGAGGCAGAGGGGGGGCAGGCCGGCAAUGGCCCCCCACACCCAGCAGCAGCAGACCAGGAAGGGAGCUCUAGCCAGCAGCAGUCCUCCAGGGAAGAAGGGAGCUUCAGUCAACAGGACAGCCACAGCAGACUAAGGUGCGUGGGCUCCCUCCGAGCCGGAGAGUGAGGGACCAUUACACCCCCAUAGUGGCAAAACCCCUGACUCCACAAAGGGGCCACAAAAAUCGGGAGACAGAUCAAAACUGUUAAUCUUCCAAGUGAGCCCAGCCCUGUGUCGCAGAAGGGAAGAGGGCUGGACUUCAGCUGGAUGAAGGGUGAAGGUGGCAAAAGUUUGUUUCACUUCCUUCUCGGGACACUUUGCUCUCUGCCCGUAGCCUCGGGGCAAAGAGCCAGCCUGGAAAAGACGCCGAGAGACCAUCUGAUCGACACCAUUAGUGAGCUGGGCGAAUCGGACUUGAAGAUGUUUAAAGACAAGCUGAACAAUUUCAAGCCCAAGGAAGGUUAUAACCAUAUCAAAUGGAGCCAGCUGGAAAAAGCAGAAGCUGUAGAAAUCACUCGUCUGCUGGUCAGUUACUACGAUGACGAUUACGCGGUGGAAGUGGCCGGGAAGGUGCUGGACGCCAUGGACAAGAAGAACCUGGCACACAAGCUGUCAGAGGCCGCAGGGAAGGAAAUCCUCCUCUUCCUCCUCCUCGUCGGCAGCAGUGACUCCAACGCAGCAGCAGUCAGCCAGCCAGGCAGGAGGGACCCGUAGGUGGUGGUGGGGUCCUUGUUUCUCCCUCCAGAGGCAGAGGGGGGACAGGCCGGCAAUGGCCCCCCACACCCAGCAGCAGCAGACCAGGAAGGGAGCUCUAGCCAGCAGCAGUCCUCCAGGGAAGAAGGGAGCUUCAGCCAGCAGGACAGCCACAGCAGACUAAGCCUCGGGGCAAAGAGCCAGCCUGGAAAAGACGCCGAGAGACCAUCUGAUCGACACCAUUAGUGAACUGGGCGAAUCGGACUUGAAGAUGUUUAAAGACAAGCUGAACAAUUUCAAGCCCAAGGAAGGUUAUAACCACAUAAAAUGGAGCCAGCUGGAAAAAGCAGAAGCUGUAGAUAUCACUCGUCUGCUGGUCAGCUACUACGAUGACGAUUACGCGGUGGAAGUGGCCGGGAAGGUGCUGGACGCCAUGGACAAGAAGAACCUGGCACGCAAGCUGUCAGAGGCCGCAGGGAAGGGAAUCCUCCUCUUCCUCCUCCUCGACGGCAGCAGUGACUCCAACGCAGCAGCAGCAAGC